rnacentral:SRP_RNA from 1 species
GCCGGGCGUGGUGGCUCACGCCUGUAAUCCCAGCACUUUGGGAGGCCGGGGCAGGUGGAUUACCUGAGGUCAGGAGUUCAAGACCAGCCUGACCAACAUGGAGAAACCCUGUCUCUA